rnacentral:rRNA from 1 species
UAAUACAUGCAAGUCGAGGGGUAGAGGGAUUGCUUGCAAGACCUUGAGACCGGCGAACGGGUGCGUAACGCGUAUGCAACCUACCUUUAUCAGGGGGAUAGCCCAGAGAAAUUUGGAUUAAUACCGCAUAAUAUAUUUGCUGGCAUCAGUAGAUAUUGAAAGAUUUAUUGGAUAGAGAUGGGCAUGCGUAAGAUUAGCUAGUAGGUGAGGUAACGGCUCACCUAGGCUACGAUCUUUAGGGGCUCUGAGAGGAGUAACCCCCACACUGGUACUGAGAUACGGACCAGACUCCUACGGGAGGCAGCAGUAGGGAAUAUUGGACAAUGGGCGGAAGCCUGACCCAGCCAUGCCGCGUGCAGGAAGACNGCCCUCUGGGUUGUAAACUGCUUUUAUAUGGGAAGAAAAUGGCUUUGCUAAGCAAAUUGACGGUACCAUAGGAAUAAGCCCNGCUAACUACNUGCCAGCAGCCGCGGUAAUACGUAGGUGGCGAGCGUUAUCCGGAUUUAUUGGGU